AGUUUUGCGCAGUGGCAGUAUCGUAGCCUAUGAAGUUUAUCCGAUGCGCGAUUAUUGCUAAUUGGAAACUUUACCAAAUACCCAGUCAUAACGACUUGAAAUAUAGUCGGCAUUGGCAAUUUUUGAUGGUCUUUACGGAGA
rnacentral:snRNA from 1 species